rnacentral:misc_RNA from 1 species
UACGGAGGGCGCAAGCGUUGCUCGGAAUUACUGGGCGUAAAGCGUACGCAGGCGGAUCGUUAAGUCGGGUGUGAAAGCCCGGGGCUCAACCCCGGAACUGCAUUCGAUACUGGCGGUCUUGAGUACGGGAGAGGGAAGCGGAAUUCCUGGUGUAGAGGUGAAAUUCGUAGAUAUCAGGAGGAACACCUGUGGCGAAAGCGGCUUCCUGGCCCGAUACUGACGCUCAUGUACGAAAGCGUGGGGAGCAAACAGG